CGUAUGUGAAUGCUUUACUUUUCGGUCCCUUGACACCACAGACUUGCUAUUUGGACACUAGAUGACACAACUGACGAGGAAAAGCAAUAAUUUGUGCUUGUGUAACAACUGUUUUUGAAAAAGUAACGUCUCCGAGCCAACAGUUGAGAGGCAGCGUGCUCUUCAUAUACUCCUAUUUUUCUUACCAUGCAGUAGUUUUACGUUGUUAUUGUGCAUUAUAUUUGCAAAAAAUGAGUCGAUAAAUAGAUAAAAGUGAACCGAACUAUCGUCCAAGCCCUCGUCGUCGGCGACCUCCAGGUGAAUUUAUACAAGACACUAAAGAAGAGGUGCCAAGCGACACCGACGCCGAAGCAAGUGCGUCGGCUAAGAAAAUGAAAGCGUCGGUGUCUGACGUCGUUGUAAAUUUGAGUUUCUGUUACCGAAUCAUAGAAUUUAUUUCUGUAUUUUCUGCUAUUUCUGACAUAGCUAUUUGCAGAAAGUGUAAAGGUAAUUUAUCAUUCGGGAAUUUAGAUGACAGAGGACUUGGUUUUAAAAUAUCCGUGAAGUGUAAGUGUGGCACUACACUCAUUGAUUCAGGACCAUUUAUUCAUAAUAGUUUUGAAAUUAAUCGAAGAAUAGUUUUUGCUAUGAGAUUACUGGGAGUAGCUCGAGAAGGCAUAAACAUUUUUUGCGGUAUAAUGGACUUGGGACAAGGAUUGAGGCAAAAAAGGUUACGAGAGAAUAGUGCAGCACUUAUACGCGUCUGCUAAGAAAGUUUUUGAUGUUUGUUGCAAAAACGCUGUACAAGAUGAAAUAAAAAUAAAUGAAGAGAACGAGAGAUCUAUUCAGAAUUUGACUGUUAGCGGUGACGGUUCUUGGAAAAAGCGCGGGUUCUCGUUUCUCUUUGGUGUUACCACGUUAAUAGCUUAUCACUCAGGAAAAGUAAUAGAUCUGAUCGUUAAAAAUAGUUAUUGUCAAGCAUGCAUCUACUUUAAACACAAAGAUUCAAACGGUCCGGAAUAUGCAGAGCUUAAAGAGAAUUGCCCAAUAAAUCAUCGAGGCUCUUCGGGAAAAAUGGAAGUCGAUUCUAUGCUCGAAAUGUUUCAAAGAUCCCAGGAACAUUAUGGAGUGAGGUACAGUAAUUAUAUUGGAGAUGGAGACGCCAAGACUUUUAAAGCCAUUAUAGAUGCAGAACCUUACGGUGAUGAUUUGAAAAUAACGAAGAGCGAAUGCUUGGGUCAUGUCGAGAAACGCAUGGGCAGUCGACUACGAAAUUUAAAAAAAAUUUAAAAAAAAAUUUAAAACAAAUUAAAAAAAAACUGUUAAACUCGGAGGUAAGGGGAAACUUACUGAUGUUCUUAUAAAAAAAUUAACAAAAUACUAUGGCCUAGCCAUUCGAAGGAAUGCGCAUAGAAUGACAUGAAAAAAGCAAUCAUGGCCACUUAUUUCCAUUUAAUAUUAACCGAUCAAGAGCCGCAGCACUAGUAUUGUCCCCCGGACGCCGACGUGAUGUGCGUAUCGCGUCGCCGAAGCUGAAAAUGCAGCACAAGCUUAUAUUCAUCCUUCUCCAUUACAUCCUGAUGUGAAAAAGCAGAUACUGCCAAUUUACGAGGAUUUAUCCCGUGAUAACUUGCUUGAGAGAUGCUUGGGUGGCUAUACGCAAAAUGCAAAUGAAUCUUUUAAUGCGACCGUAUGGCGCUUGGCUCCCAAGCAUCUAAACUGCGGCUGGAAAAUCGUUGAGAUUGCUGCUUAUUUAGCCGGAGGCAUGUUUAACGAUGGCUACACAUUCUACAAGUAAUGACAGAUUUGGAACUGCAAAUCGGUUUUCAGUGUAAAACAUUUGCUGACGUGUACGACAAAAACUGAGUGGAAAAACAGGAGCGUAGCCAAAGCAGGUCAAAAGAGUCCAGGACAGCUAAAAAACAGGAAGCAGCGGUUCAAAUGGAUGCAUUUGCAGAAGAGGAAGGCAUAUUUUACAGCUCUGGCAUCGCAGACUAAGCUUAUGUAGCCUUAAUUAGAGCGACCUGGACGUUGCACGGCGCAAAUUGUAGGAACCCACUUCAAGCAGCUGCUGCGCCGCCAUUUUGAAAUAUUUUUACAUGAAAAAAAUAUAUAAUAUACUUUAAAUCCUAUAUAUUACAAUGUACUUUAUACCGAUUUCAUAAACUUUUCCAUUUUUUCAAAAAAAAA